rnacentral:rRNA from 1 species
UACGAAGGGGGCUAGCGUUGUUCGGAAUCACUGGGCGUAAAGGGCGCGUAGGCGGCCGUUCAAGUCGGGGGUGAAAGCCUGUGGCUCAACCACAGAAUUGCCUUCGAUACUGGACGGCUCGAGACCGGAAGAGGUCAGUGGAACUGCGAGUGUAGAGGUGAAAUUCGUAGAUAUUCGCAAGAACACCAGUGGCGAAGGCGGCUGACUGGUCCAGUUCUGACGCUGAGGCGCGAAAGCGUGGGGAGCAAACAGG